AAUAGAAACGCCAGAUUCCGGUGCGUAACCAAGUAAUAGCAUAUCAUGGCAACAGUUCGACUUGGUUAAAAACAACAACAUCAACAACAACAACAACAACGUGGAGGCAGUAGCAUCCCACACACUUUCUUAGCUAAGCAUCUGAUCAAGUACCUGACACUACAUACCCUGUAUGUUACACAUGUAACCAGAACAUUACACUAUUCAACACAGUAACUAUCUGACACAUACUUAUCUGACAGUGGUACUCAGACUCAGUCUCUGCUAGUCAAUCCAUCAGUCACAAGCACACAUACAAGAGAAUCGUCCCAAAUGGCAUUUACCCAUAAGGCUCUGGUCAAAAGUUGUGGCCUUUAUAGAGGAAAAUGUUCCAUUUGGGACGCAGACAUAGUCACAGAGGUGACGUUAGGGAGGUCACAGAGGUGACGUUAGGGAGGGUCACAGAGGUGACGUUAGGGGGGUCACAGAGGUGGCGUUCUGAGGCUCAUGUCCCAUUGCUGUGUCACCACAGUGACCCGGUGAGGGUGUCGGUCUAACAGAGGUAUGACAUCACAAAAACGCCACACGGGUUAAUGCUGCAUGAAUUGCAAAACUCCCUUUCAACUAAAGUACAAAUGUAAAAAAAAUAGAUAAAAAACAUGAGACAAAAAUAGAAGACAAAUAAGAUCGAAGACAAACCCAGAGAACACAUAUUAGUUAAAAAGGUCUAUAAAAAUACUACUAUAGCUACUGUAGAAAGAGCAGCCCUGCAGGCCUCCGAGGUUUCUCUCCAGAGGUUUGUCUUCAGAGGUUUCUCUUCAGAGGUUUCCCUCCAGAGGUUUCUCUCCAGAGGUUUCUCUCCAGAGGUUUCUCUCCAGAGGUUUCUCUCCAGAGGUUUCUCUUCAGAGGUUUGUCUUCAGAGGUUUCUCUCCAGAGGUUUCUCUCCAGAGGUUUCUCUCCAGAGGUUUCUCUUCAGAGGUUUCCCUCCAGAGGUUUCCCUCCAGAGGUUUCUCUCCAGAGGUUUCUCUCCAGAGGUUUCCCUCCAGAGGUUUCUCUCCAGAGGUUUCUCUCCAGAGGUUUCUCUCCAGAGGUUUCUCUCCAGAGGUUUCUCUCCAGAGGUUUCUCUUCAGAGGUUUCUCUUCAGAGGUUUCCCUCCAGAGGUUUCUCUUCAGAGGUUUCUCUCCAGAGGUUUCUCUCCAGAGGUUUCUCUUCAGAGGUUUCUCUCCAGAGGUUUCUCUCCAGAGGUUUCCCUCCAGAGUUUUCUCUCCAGAGGUUUCUCUUCAAGAGGUUUCUCUCCAGAGGUUUCUCUGGACCGGGUCCUGGAGAUGGAGGCAGUGUGUGAGGCCGCCCGUCCCGUACUAACAAACAGACAGCCCUCAGAGAGCCAGGCAAGGGGGGGUUAGACCAGGGAUGGGAUGGGGUUGGGGCUGGGGGUACGGCUUGGGGG
rnacentral:lncRNA from 1 species